rnacentral:rRNA from 1 species
CGAACGGGUGAGUAACGCGUGAGGAACCUGCCUCAAAGAGGGGGACAACAGUUGGAAACGACUGCUAAUACCGCAUAAGCCCACGACCUGGCAUCGGGUUGAGGGAAAAGGAGCAAUCCGCUUUGAGAUGGCCUCGCGUCCGAUUAGCUAGUUGGUGAGGUAACGGCCCACCAAGGCAACGAUCGGUAGCCGGACUGAGAAGUUGAACGGCCACAUUGGGACUGAGACACGGCCCAG